rnacentral:tRNA from 1 species
CGGAGCGUGGCGCAGCCUGGUAGCGCAUUUGCCUGGGGGGCAAAGGGUCGCAGGUUCAAAUCCUGUCGCUCCGACCA